rnacentral:rRNA from 1 species
UACGGAGGAUCCAAGCGUUAUCCGGAAUUACUGGGCGUAAAGAGUUGCGUAGGCGGCAUAGUAAGCAGGACGUGAAAGCGUGUGGCUCAACCAUAUACACAUGUUCUGAACUGCUAAGCUAGAAUCUGGAAGAGGUGGCUAGAAUUCCUUGUGUAGGAGUGAAAUCCGUAGAUAUAAGGAGGAAUACCGAUGGCGUAGGCAGGCCACUGGUCCAGUAUUGACGCUAAGGCACGAAAGCGUGGGGAGCAAACGGG